GACGAAGGGGGCUAGCGUUGUUCGGAAUUACUGGGCGUAAAGCGCGUGUAGGCGGUUUGUUAAGUCAUGUGUGAAAUCCCUCGGCUCAACCGGGGAACGACGCAUGAAACUGGCAAGCUAGAGUACCAAAGAGGGGGGUGGAAUUCCCGGUGUAGCGGUGAAAUGCGUAGAGAUCUGGAAGAACACCAAAGGCGAAGGCAGCAUCCUGGGAAGUUCCUGACGCUCGGGUGCGAAAGCCAGGGGAGCGAACGGG
rnacentral:rRNA from 1 species